rnacentral:tRNA from 1 species
AGGGCUGUAGUUAAAUAUAACAUUUGGUUUGCAUCUAAAAAGUAUUGUAAUACAAUCUGCCUUU